CCUACGGGGGGCAGCAGUGAGGAAUAUUGGUCAAUGGUCGGGAGACUGAACCAGCCAAGCCGCGUGAGGGAAGACGGCCCUACGGGUUGUAAACCUCUUUUGUCGGGGAGCAAAGAGAGUCACGUGUGACUCAUUGAGAGUACCCGAAGAAAAAGCAUCGGCUAACUCCGUGCCAGCAGCCGCGGUAAUACGGAGGAUGCGAGCGUUAUCCGGAUUUAUUGGGUUUAAAGGGUGCGCAGGCGGAGGUGCAAGUCAGCGGUCAAAUUGCGGGGCUCAACCCCGUACUGCCGUUGAAACUGCAUCCCUUGAGUGCGCGAGAAGUAUGCGGAAUGCGUGGUGGAGCGGUGAAAUGCAUAGAUAUCACGCAGAACUCCGAUUGCGAAGGCGGCCUGCUGGACGACAACUGACGGUGAGGCGCGAAAGCGUGGGGAGCAAACAGGAUUAGAUACCCCAGUAGUC
rnacentral:rRNA from 1 species